UCCCUGGCAGUCCAGUGGUUAGGACUUUGCACUUCUACUGCAAGGGGCCCGGGUUUGAUCCCUGGUCGGGGAG
rnacentral:tRNA from 1 species